GCCGAGAUAGCUCAGCGGUAGAGCAACUGUUUUGUAAACAGUAGGCCCGGGGUCCGAAUCCCCGUCUCGGCU
rnacentral:tRNA from 1 species